rnacentral:rRNA from 1 species
GACGAACGCUGGCGGCGUGCCUAACACAUGCAAGUCGAACGGAGUUGACCUUGGGGUUAACUUAGUGGCGAACGGGUGAGUAACGCGUGAGAAACCUGCCUUUCAGUGGGGGACAACAGUUGGAAACGACUGCUAAUACCGCAUAAUGUCAUUUGGGGGCAUCCCCGAAUGACCAAAGAUUUAUUGCUGAAAGAUGGUCUCGCGUCUGAUUAGCUAGAUGGCGGGGUAACGGCCCACCAUGGCGACGAUCAGUAGCCGGUCUGAGAGGAUGAACGGCCACAUUGGGACUGAGAUACGGCCCAGACUCCUACGGGAGGCGGCAGUGGGGAAUAUUGGGCAAUGGGCGAAAGCCUGACCCAGCAACGCCGCGUGAAGGAAGAAGGCCUUCGGGUUGUAAACUUCUUUUACCAGGGACGAAAAUUUGACGGUACCUGGAGAAAAAGCAACGGCUAACUACGUGCCAGCCGCCGCGGUAACAC